rnacentral:rRNA from 1 species
AUGGCGUCAGGAUGAACGCUAGCUACAGGCUUAACACAUGCAAGUCGAGGGGCAGCAUGUUGGUUGCUUGCAACCAAUGAUGGCGACCGGCGCACGGGUGAGUAACGCGUAUCCAACCUUCCCCUUAGUAGAGGAUAGCCCGGCGAAAGUCGGAUUAAUACUCUAUGUUCUUCAAUGCGGACAUCUAAGUUGAAGCAAAGAUUUAUCGCUAAGGGAUGGGGAUGCGUCUGAUUAGGUUGCAGGCGGGGUAACGGCCCACCUGGCCUACGAUCAGUAGGGGUUCUGAGAGGAAGGUCCCCCACACUGGUACUGAGACACGGACCAGACUCCUACGGGAGGCAGCAGUGAGGAAUAUUGGUCAAUGGGCGCGAGCCUGAACCAGCCAAGUAGCGUGCAAGGACGACUGCCCUAUGGGUUGUAAACUGCUUUUGUGCGGGAAUAAAGUAUGGGACGUGUCCCAUUUUGCAUGUACCGCACGAAUAAGGACCGGCUAAUUCCGUGCCAGCAGCGGC